rnacentral:rRNA from 1 species
UACGGGGGGGGGAAGCGUUGUUCGGAAUUACUGGGCGUAAAGGGCUCGUAGGCGGCCAACUAAGUCAUACGUGAAAUCCCUCAGCUUAACUGGGGAACUGCGUGUGAUACUGGAUGGCUUGGAUUUGGGAGAGGGAUGCGGAAUUCCAGGUGUAGCGGUGAAAUGCGUAGAUAUCUGGAGGAACACCGGUGGCGAAGGCGGCAUCCUGGACCAAUAUUGACGCUGAGGAGCGAAAGCUAGGGGAGCAAACGGG